rnacentral:rRNA from 1 species
UGCUGUGUGGCUGUCGUCAGCUCAUGUCGUGAGAUGUUUGGUCAAGUCCUAUAACGAGCGAAACCCUCGUUUUGUGUUGCUGAGACAUGCGCCUAAGGAGAAAUUGUGGUACGUAGUGGUAAUAGUACACGCCCCGCUCCGAAACAAAGAAAAAGGUGCGUGCCGCACUCACGAAGGACUGCCAGUGAGAUACUGGAGGAAGGUGGGGAUGACGUCAAGUCCGCAUGGC